ACGAUGGAUAGCAACGUCUGGACUAUGAGGAGGUGAAAGAUUGUCAGAACUGUCAUAGAUCAGAAAGUUCCACUCAUCAAUGAAGAGGUUGUUUGUCACUAAAGCAUGAUGAGUGUACUGAGCAUUAUAAUGAUGAUCAGGAGGAUAGGCCUCUUCAACUAAAAACAACAAAAGAAACCUUACAAUGAUUUGUCAAUGACCACAACGAAGAGUCCCUGUUGUGUACUCUUGAUAUAAUGACAACAAUCAAUCAAUACUGACACUAAAUGGAACCUACCAUCAGACAGGUCGGUAAUGUCAUUUCUAGGAAAACUAAAAGGAGGCAUACACCUGACUCUGUUGGACUUGGCAAGUGACAUGUCUCAUGAAUCAAAUUUGAAGUCUCAUCAACACUUUGUUCCAAAGAA